UAUGACUUAAUUGAGCCCCCGAUCAACUUUAAUUUGGAUGACGAUGUUGCUAAGAAGACAGAAGAGCUCAUAUGUGACAUGUACGGGAAGACAGUAACUCUUCUGAGGCAGCAUGAUACUGCCUUACUCAAAACAGUGAAGGUUCUUCUGAAUCGGACUGAGAUCAGUGGAGACGAGAUCGACUUAAUCCUGAGCCACUAUCCACCAAAUACACCCACAAGUCUUCUGCUGGAGGAGAGAGAUCCCGCGAGUCUUCCAUUUGUUGACGAAAAGCAAGAACAGCAUAAUAACAUUGAGUACAGUCUGUCUUCAUGAGAAAACGGAAUCCUUGAUCCAGGCUUUCUACCCUAUUCGAAGCCAGUUUUGACGUGCAUUCGGAACACGAAAUAUUACAGCUGAGAACUUUCUGACAAAUAGUGAGAUGCUAAAAAUGCAGUUUGUUUGCUGUAUGAAUCCAUAUCUAUAGGAAUUUUGUUAAAACUGUUGAUUUAUUCUUCUGUGAUUUUUGUAUUUCAGUAUAUUACUAUUGAAGAGGCAAAAUCUUCACAACAAAAUUAAUAUAAGAAAAGUAGUUG
rnacentral:misc_RNA from 1 species